GGGAAUGUGGCUCAGUUGGUAGAGCGCUCGCUUAGCAGCCUCUGACUGCGAAAGGUCCUGAGCUCGGUUCUUAGCAUCUCUA